rnacentral:tRNA from 1 species
CUUUAAUAAUUUAAAUUAAAAAUAUUGAUUUUGUAAAUCAAAAUUACUAAAAUUUUGUUUAAAGCAU